GGUCUAGGAUGCUGGAAUGCACUUAGUCUGAAAACUCCGGUGCCUAAGGAUGAAUCUGCGGACUAUCAGGUUGUAGUCAGGGUAAUGACCUGACUAGCCUAUGACGGAUAUGGGUUGUGGGAGCAAUAACCCAGAGAUGAUAUCUGAGACACGAUAUCAGGCCCUACGGGGCGCAGCAGGCGCGAAAACUUCGCAAUGUGCGAAAGCACGACGAGGGAAUCCCAAGUGCUUGCACGUAAGUGUAAGCUGUUUCUCUGUUUAAAACGCAGAGAGAGUAAGGGCUGGGUAAGACGGGUGCCAGCCGCCGCGGUAAUACCUGCAGCUCAAGUGGUGGCCGUUAUUAUUGGGCCUAAAACGUCCGUAGCCGGUUUAUUAAAUGCCUGGGUAAAUCGGACCGCUUAACGGUUCGAAUUCCGGGUAGACUGAUAAACUUGAGACCGGGAGAAGUUAGAGGUACUCCUGGGGUAGAGGUGAAAUUCUGUAAUCCUAGGGGGACCACCAGUGGCGAAAGCGUCUAACUAGAACGGGUCUGACGGUGAGGGACGAAGCCCUGGGGCGCAAACGGGAUUAGAUACCCCGGUAGUCCAGGGUGUAAACGCUGCUUGCUUGAUGUUAGUCGGGCUCCGAGCCCGAUUAGUGUCGG
rnacentral:rRNA from 1 species